rnacentral:rRNA from 1 species
UGGGGAAUUUUGGACAAUGGGCGCAAGCCUGAUCCAGCCAUGCCGCGUGCGGGAAGAAGGCCUUCGGGUUGUAAACCGCUUUUGUCAGGGAAGAAAUCUUCUGAGUUAAUACCUCGGGAGGAUGACGGUACCUGAAGAAUAAGCACCGGCUAACUACGUGCCAGCAGCCGCGGUAAUACGUAGGGUGCAAGCGUUAAUCGGAAUUACUGGGCGUAAAGCGUGCGCAGGCGGUUUUGUAAGACAGAGGUGAAAUCCCCGGGCUCAACCUGGGAACUGCCUUUGUGACUACAAGGCUUGAGUGCGGCAGAGGGGGAUGGAAUUCCGCGUGUAGCAGUGAAAUGCGUAGAUAUGCGGAGGAACACCGAUGGCGAAGGCAAUCCCCUGGGCCUGCACUGACGCUCAUGCACGAAAGCGUGGGGAGCAAACAGGAUUAGAUACCCUGGUAGUCCACGCCCUAAACGAUGUCAACUGGUUGUUGGGAAGGUUCCUUCUCAGUAACGUAGCUAACGCGUGAAGUUGACCGCCUGGGGAGUACGGCCGCAAGGUUGAAACUCAAAUGAAUUGACGGGGU